AUACCCACAAUCCUCUUUCACGUUCUUCCUUUAGUUUCAAAAGAAAAAAAAAAACGUUCUUCCCUUUGCCGGCGGCAACCGCGACCUAGAUCGACGUGGUGUGGUGGUGGACGCUUCUCUAACCAGCAUGCCAAAGUCGUUUGCCUCUUCUUCUUACGUCCUUCUUGAACCGUAAGAAUGGUGUUAAUCCUGGCUCUGAGUUUCCGAUGGCAUGUGAUGAAGCAAACAACAGGUGGAAUCUCACAUGACCUCUCUUUUUAUGAUGCUAAGGAGCUGUUUUUCGAGCAGAGUUGUUUUUCGCCUCAUCUGGUUCCCUGUUUUGCUGUUUAUUUUUUCUGCAACCUUAGGAGCUGCUGCAGAACACGUUUUCUAUGUGACCGAAGAGCACACAUCAAGAAAUCACAAUGCCUUAGAACAUACCUUGUAGCCACUUUAUCAGAUUUUCUGUGACACAGUAUAAUGAGUACAGAAACUAUUUUUCAAAGUUGAGGAUUUGAAAAAAUUGAGGAUUUUUCUGAA